rnacentral:rRNA from 1 species
CUCCUACGGGAGGCAGCAGUGGGGAAUAUUGCACAAUGGGCGCAAGCCUGAUGCAGCCAUGCCGCGUGUAUGAAGAAGGCCUUCGGGUUGUAAAGUACUUUCAGCAGUGAGGAAGGUGGGUAUGUUAAUAGCAUACUCAUUUGACGUUAGCUGCAGAAGAAGCACCGGCUAACUCCGUGCCAGCAGCCGCGGUAAUACGGAGGGUGCGAGCGUUAAUCGGAAUUACUGGGCGUAAAGCGCAUGCAGGUGGUUUGUUAAGUCAGAUGUGAAAGCCCGGGGCUCAACCUCGGAAUUGCAUUUGAAACUGGCAAACUAGAGUACUGUAGAGGGGGUAGGAAUUUCAGGUGUAGCGGUGAAAAUGCGUAGAGAUCUGAAGGAAUACCGGUGGCGAAGGCGGCCCCCUGGACAGAUACUGACACUCAGAUGCGAAAGCGUGGGGAGCAAACAGGAUUAGAUACCCUGGUAG